UUCUUCUAAAGGCAUGUAUUUAUGCUUCGUUUGGGAUUGCGCAGAGAUUGCGUUAUGUGCGGUGAGAAAGUACGUUGGAAAAAUAUCCUGUUUGUUUCCGUACAUAAUAUUGCGUUCCGCAUAUCACGAUGAAUUGAUUACGAUAUAUUUUCUACAGUCCUACCGGAGAACGCAGAAGCAUAUCCCUACCCUAUAUGCUUUUUCUCCAACUCCAUUUUAUCUAAUAGCGUUUAAUAGGCCGCAAUACCAAACUAAGACUUAGACAGAUGCCCUUAUGAGAACAGAAAUAUCACUUUUUAAAAACUCAAUAGCCUAUAUACCCCUCAUACGGAACAAAUGUCAAAAUGGCCUAU
rnacentral:lncRNA from 1 species